rnacentral:rRNA from 1 species
UCCGGUGGCUAUAGCAUAGGGGAAACACCCGAUCCCAUUUCGAACUCGGAAGUUAAGCCCUAUAGCGCCAAUGGUACUGCGCGGGAGACUAGCGUGGGAGAGUAGGACGUUGCCGGGA